rnacentral:rRNA from 1 species
UACGUAGGGUGCGAGCGUUGUCCGGAAUUAUUGGGCGUAAAGAGCUUGUAGGCGGUUUGUCGCGUCUGCUGUGAAAAUCCGGGGCUCAACCCCGGACUUGCAGUGGGUACGGGCAGACUAGAGUGUGGUAGGGGAGACUGGAAUUCCUGGUGUAGCGGUGAGAUGCGCAGAUAUCAGGAGGAACACCGAUGGCGAAGGCAGGUCUCUGGGCCACUACUGACGCUGAGAAGCGAAAGCAUGGAGAGCGAACAGG